GAGGAACAGAUCGGGUAGAUGCACAGGGUCUCUUGCCCAGAGUAGGGGAAUCAAGAACCAGAGGACAUAGGUUUAAAGUGAGGGGGGGAAGGAUUUAUUAGGAACUCGAGGGGCAAGUUUAUUCACACAAUGUGUGGAGGAUGUAUGGAACGAGCUGCUGGAGGAGGU